GACUGAUGCAGCCAUGCCGCGUGUGUGAAGAAGGCCUUCGGGUUGUAAAGCACUUUCAGUUGUGAGGAAAGGUUGGUAGUUAAUACCUGCCAGCUGUGACGUUAACAACAGAAGAAGCACCGGCUAACUCCGUGCCAGCAGCCGCGGUAAUACGGAGGGUGCGAGCGUUAAUCGGAAUUACUGGGCGUAAAGCGCACGCAGGCGGUUUGUUAAGCUAGAUGUGAAAGCCCCGGGCUCAACCUGGGAUGGUCAUUUAGAACUGGCAGACUAGAGUCUUGGAGAGGGGAGUGGAAUUCCAGGUGUAGCGGUGAAAUGCGUAGAUAUCUGGAGGAACAUCAGUGGCGAAGGCGGCUCCCUGGCCAAAGACUGACGCUCAUGUGCGAAAGUGUGGGUAGCGAACAGGAUUAGAUACCCUGGUAGUCCACACCGUAAACGCUGUCUACUAGCUGUUUGUGAAUUUAAUUCGUGAGUAGCGAAGCUAACGCGCUAAGUAGACCGCCUGGGGAGUACGGCCGCAAGGUUAAAACUCAAAUG
rnacentral:rRNA from 1 species